ACGGGCCGAACUUAAGCAUAUCAGUAAGCCCAGGAAAAGAAAUUAACAAAGAUUGCCCCAGUAGCUGCGAGUGAACAGGCAAAAGCUCAAACUGGUAAUCCUACGCGUAGAGUGUUAGGAAUUGUAAUCUAGAGGUGCGUUCCGAAGGCAUGGUUGAGGUAUAAAUUCCUUGAACAGGAUGCCGAAGAGGGUGAUAGCCCCGUAAGCGGCCUUUGACCCGCCGUAGGAACGUAUUCAAAGAGUCGGGUUGUUUGGUAUUGCGGCCUUAAACGGGAGAUAAACUUCUUCUAAAGCUAAAUAUUUAUGGGAAACCGAUAGCGAACAAGUACUAUGAAGGAAAGGUGAAAAGAACUUUGAAAAGAGGGUUAAAAGACUUGAAAUCGUUGAGUCGGAAGUGGUAGAAGGGUAGUCAUUCGACUGCGAUGUAGUCGAGAGCAGGACCUGGCACCAGUGCCCUCCCUGUACCUAACCGGGCAGGCGGUACGGCCUCUAAAGGACUUGUUGCGAUCGUUUCGCAGACGAUAGCCAGAAUGGAAUGCAUGGUGUAGGAAUAAAUCAGAGCGAGGCUGGGACCUAGUCCUAAGCGCCUGAACGAAAUUGCACCUGCGUUUGAGGGAUGCCUACGGGCGAUUCUGGAACGGCGUCUUCUACCGACCCGUCUAGAAACACGGACCAAGGAGUGUAUCACCUGUGCAAGUGAUAGGGUGUAAAAACCCGAUCGCGCAGAGAAAUCGAGUUUAAGUAGCAACCAGCUACGGCCCACCUCUUGUCUUUGACAUGGGGCUGGAGCAAGAGCACAGUUGGUACGACCCGAAAGAUGAUGAACUACGCUUGAGUACGCCGAAACCAGGGGAAACUCUGGUGGAAGGUGGCAGAGCAACUGACGUGCAAAUCGUUCUUCAAACUUGAGUGUAGGUGCGAAAGACUAAUCGAAUCAUCUAGUAGCUGGUUCCCUCUGAAGUUUCUCUCAGGAUAGCUGGAACCGAGUUUAAAACGCAGUUUUAUCAGGUAAAGCGAAUGAUUAGAAGUACCGGUGUGCCAAGCACAUUGACUUAUUCUCAAACUUUAAAUUGGUAAGAAUUGUGGAGUGGCUAACUUAAUUGAGCACCUCCAGCAGAAUGCACGGUUCUUAGUGGCCUAUUUUUGGUAAGCAGAAAUGGGGAUGAGCGAUGCUGCUUUCGUCGAGAUAAAGUGCCAAAAUGUCCGCAAAUCAGACACCACUAAAAGAUGUUAGUUCAUAUAGACAGCAGGACGGUGGACCUGGCAGUAGUAAUCCGCUAAGGAAUGUGUAACAACUCACCUGCCGAAUGAACUAGCUCUGAAAAUUGAUGGCGCUCCAGCGGACUACUGAUACUCGACCAUUGCCGUAAAUUUGAUACGGCAAUGAGUAAGAGGGCGUGCCCGUUUUGUGUGGAAGGCUAGCGCGUGAGCGUGGCUGGAACAGCGGGCAGUGCAGAUCUUGGUAGUAGUAGCAAAUAUUCAAAUGAGAACUUUGAAGACUGAUUUGGGGAAAGGUUCCAUGAAAAUAGCAAUUAGUCAUGGGUUAAUCGGUCCUAAGCCUAAGGCUGACGCCGAAAGCAUUCGCAUGUACAUGCGAGCUGGCGAAAGGGAAUGUGGUUAACAUUCCGCAAUUUGUCUUGGAUAUUUAGCGGCAACGCGAACGAUCCCGCAGACAUCGGUAAAAGUCAUAGGAAGAGUUCUCUUUUCUUUUUAACUGGUUGUGGCCCUGAAAUUGAAUUAUUCAGAGAUAGGGCUAUACGCCAGGAAGAGCAGUUCACUAUACGAGCUGUCUAUGGCGCUUUUAACGAUCAUUGAAAAUGUGGGGGAGAAUAUUAUUUCAAGACAAGCCGUACUCAUAACCGCAUCAGGUCUCCAAGGUU
rnacentral:rRNA from 1 species